rnacentral:rRNA from 1 species
GGCGGGACACGUGGUAUCCUGUCUGAAUAUGGGGGGACCAUCCUCCAAGGCUAAAUACUCCUGACUGACCGAUAGUGAACCAGUACCGUGAGGGAAAGGCGAAAAGAACCCCGGCGAGGGGAGUGAAAAAGAACCUGAAACCGUGUACGUACAAGCAGUGGGAGCCCCACCACUAAGCCAGUGGUGAACUCCACAUACGCAUCCUUUGCUGAGGAUACGGUUAACGGAGCGAAAGCGACGUUCAACCGCAAAAGAAGCAGAGGGGGCUUAGUGGUGGGGUGACUGCGUACCUUUUGUAUAAUGGGUCAGCGACUUAUAUUCUGUAGCAAGGUUAACCGUAUAGGGGAGCCGCAGGGAAACCGAGUCUUAACCGGGCGUUAAGUUGCAGGGUAUAGACCCGAAACCCGGUGAUCUAGCCAUGGGCAGGUUGAAGGUUGGGUAACACUAACUGGAGGACCGAACCGACUAAUGUUGAAAAAUUAGCGGAUGACCUGUGGCUGGGGGUGAAAGGCCAAUCAAACCGGGAGAUAGCUGGUUCUCCCCGAAAGCUAUUUAGGUAGCGCCUCGUGAAUUCAUCUCCGGGGGUAGAGCACUGUUUCGGCUAGGGGGCCAUCCCGGCUUACCAACCCGAUGCAAACUGCGAAUACCGGAGAAUGUUAUCACGGGAGACACACGGCGGGUGCUAACGUCCGUCGUGAAGAGGGAAACAACCCAGACCGCCAGCUAAGGUCCCAAAGUCAUGGUUAAGUGGGAAACGAUGUGGGAAGGCCCAGACAGCCAGGAUGUUGGCUUAGAAGCAGCCAUCAUUUAAAGAAAGCGUAAUAGCUCACUGGUCGAGUCGGCCUGCGCGGAAGAUGUAACGGGGCUAAACCAUGCACCGAAGCUGCGGCAGCGACACUAUGUGUUGUUGGGUAGGGGAGCGUUCUGUAAGCCUGUGAAGGUGGCCUGUGAGGGUUGCUGGAGGUAUCAGAAGUGCGAAUGCUGACAUAAGUAACGAUAAAGCGGGUGAAAAGCCCGCUCGCCGGAAGACCAAGGGUUCCUGUCCAACGUUAAUCGGGGCAGGGUGAGUCGACCCCUAAGGCGAGGCCGAAAGGCGUAGUCGAUGGGAAACGGGUUAAUAUUCCCGUACUUGGUGUUACUGCGAAGGGGGGACGGAGAAGGCUAUGUUGGCCGGGCGACGGUUGUCCCGGUUUAAGCGUGUAGGUGUGUGUUCCAGGUAAAUCCGGUUCACUUUAACACUGAGGCGUGAUGACGAGGCACUACGGUGCUGAAGCAACAAAUGCCCUGCUUCCAGGAAAAGCCUCUAAGCAUCAGGUAACAUCAAAUCGUACCCCAAACCGACACAGGUGGUCAGGUAGAGAAUACCAAGGCGCUUGAGAGAACUCGGGUGAAGGAACUAGGCAAAAUGGUGCCGUAACUUCGGGAGAAGGCACGCUGACAUGUAGGUGAAGUGAUUUACUCAUGGAGCUGAAGUCAGUCGAAGAUACCAGCUGGCUGCAACUGUUUAUUAAAAACACAGCACUGUGCAAACACGAAAGUGGACGUAUACGGUGUGACGCCUGCCCGGUGCCGGAAGGUUAAUUGAUGGGGUCAGCGCAAGCGAAGCUCCUGAUCGAAGCCCCGGUAAACGGCGGCCGUAACUAUAACGGUCCUAAGGUAGCGAAAUUCCUUGUCGGGUAAGUUCCGACCUGCACGAAUGGCGUAAUGAUGGCCAGGCUGUCUCCACCCGAGACUCAGUGAAAUUGAACUCGCUGUGAAGAUGCAGUGUACCCGCGGCAAGACGGAAAGACCCCGUGAACCUUUACUAUAGCUUGACACUGAACAUUGAGCCUUGAUGUGUAGGAUAGGUGGGAGGCUUUGAAGUGUGGACGCCAGUCUGCAUGGAGCCGACCUUGAAAUACCACCCUUUAAUGUUUGAUGUUCUAACGUGGACCCGUAAUCCGGGUUGCGGACAGUGUCUGGUGGGUAGUUUGACUGGGGCGGUCUCCUCCUAAAGAGUAACGGAGGAGCACGAAGGUUGGCUAAUCCUGGUCGGACAUCAGGAGGUUAGUGCAAUGGCAUAAGCCAGCUUGACUGCGAGCGUGACGGCGCGAGCAGGUGCGAAAGCAGGUCAUAGUGAUCCGGUGGUUCUGAAUGGAAGGGCCAUCGCUCAACGGAUAAAAGGUACUCCGGGGAUAACAGGCUGAUACCGCCCAAGAGUUCAUAUCGACGGCGGUGUUUGGCACCUCGAUGUCGGCUCAUCACAUCCUGGGGCUGAAGUAGGUCCCAAGGGUAUGGCUGUUCGCCAUUUAAAGUGGUACGCGAGCUGGGUUUAGAACGUCGUGAGACAGUUCGGUCCCUAUCUGCCGUGGGCGCUGGAGAACUGAGGGGGGCUGCUCCUAGUACGAGAGGACCGGAGUGGACGCAUCACUGGUGUUCGGGUUGUCAUGCCAAUGGCACUGCCCGGUAGCUAAAUGCGGAAGAGAUAAGUGCUGAAAGCAUCUAAGCACGAAACUUGCCCCGA